UUGCUACAGGCUUAACACAUGCAAGUCGAGGGGCAGCAUGGUCUUAGCUUGCUAAGGCCGAUGGCGACCGGCGCACGGGUGAGUAACGCGUAUCCAACCUGCCUUACACUCUUGGACAGCCUUCUGAAAGGGAGAUUAAUACAAGAUGUUAUCAUGAGUAAGCAUUUUCGCAUGAUUAAAGGUUUACCGGUGUAAGAUGGGGAUGCGUUCCAUUAGAUAGUAGGCGGGGUAACGGCCCACCUAGUCUUCGAUGGAUAGGGGUUCUGAGAGGAAGGUCCCCCACAUUGGAACUGAGACACGGUCCAAACUCCUACGGGAGGCAGCAGUGAGGAAUAUUGGUCAAUGGACGAGAGUCUGAACCAGCCAAGUAGCGUGAAGGAUGAAGGUUCUAUGGAUUGUAAACUUCUUUUAUACGGGAAUAAACGAAUCCACGCGUGGAUUUUUGCAUGUACCGUAUGAAUAAGGAUCGGCUAACUCCGUGCCAGCAGCCGCGGUAAUACGGAGGAUCCGAGCGUUAUCCGGAUUUAUUGGGUUUAAAGGGAGCGUAGAUGGGUUGUUAAGUCAGUUGUGAAAGUUUGCGGCUCAACCGUAAAAUUGCAAUUGAUACUGGCAGUCUUGAGUACAGUUGAGGUAGGCGGAAUUCGUGGUGUAGCGGUGAAAUGCUUAGAUAUCACGAAGAACUCCGAUUGCGAAGGCAGCUUACUAACCUGUAACUGACAUUGAUGCUCGAAAGUGUGGGUAUCAAACAGGAUUAGAUACCCUGGUAGUCCACACGGUAAACGAUGAAUACUCGCUGUAGGCGAUAUACAGUCUGCGGCCAAGCGAAAGCAUUAAGUAUUCCACCUGGGGAGUACGCCGGCAACGGUGAAACUCAAAGGAAUUGACGGGGGCCCGCACAAGCGGAGGAACAUGUGGUUUAAUUCGAUGAUACGCGAGGAACCUUACCCGGGCUUAAAUUGCAACCGAAUAUGGCGGAAACGCUAUAGCUAGCAAUAGCGGUUGUGAAGGUGCUGCAUGGUUGUCGUCAGCUCGUGCCGUGAGGGGUCGGCUUAAGUGCCAUAACGAGCGCAACCCUUGCCGAUAGUUACUAACAGGUUAUGCUGAGGACUCUGUCGGGACUGCCAUCGUAAGAUGUGAGGAAGGUGGGGAUGACGUCAAAUCAGCACGGCCCUUACGUCCGGGGCUACACACGUGUUACAAUGGGGGGUACAGAGGGCUGCUACCACGCAAGUGGAUGCCAAUCCCAAAAACCUCUCUCAGUUCGGAUUGAAGUCUGCAACCCGACUUCAUGAAGCUGGAUUCGCUAGUAAUCGCGCAUCAGCCACGGCGCGGUGAAUACGUUCCCGGGCCUUGUACACACCGCCCGUCAAGCCAUGGGAGCCGGGGGUACCUGAAGUGCGUAACCGCAAGGAGCGCCCUAGGGUAAAACUGGUGACUG
rnacentral:rRNA from 1 species